AUUGAACGCUGGCGGCAGGCCUAACACAUGCAAGUCGAGCGGAUGAAGGGAGCUUGCUCCUGGAUUCAGCGGCGGACGGGUGAGUAAUGCCUAGGAAUCUGCCUGGUAGUGGGGGAUAACGUCCGGAAACGGGCGCUAAUACCGCAUACGUCCUGAGGGAGAAAGUGUGGGAUCUUCGGACCUCACGCUAUCAGAUGAGCCUAGGUCGGAUUAGCUAGUUGGUGGGGUAAAGGCCUACCAAGGCGACGAUCCGUAACUGGUCUGAGAGGAUGAUCAGUCACACUGGAACUGAGACACGGUCCAGACUCCUACGGGAGGCAGCAGUGGGGAAUAUUGGACAAUGGGCGAAAGCCUGAUCCAGCCAUGCCGCGUGUGUGAAGAAGGUCUUCGGAUUGUAAAGCACUUUAAGUUGGGAGGAAGGGCAGUAAAUUAAUACCUUGCUGUUUUGACGUUACCAACAGAAUAAGCACCGGCUAACUUCGUG
rnacentral:rRNA from 1 species